GGCGGCGCGCCUAACACAUGCAAGUCGAACGGAGAUUGAUUGAAAGAUUCUUCGGAUGAUUGAUAUCAAUCUUAGUGGCGAACGGGUGAGUAACGCGUGAGCAAUCUGCCUUAAAGAGGGGGACAACAGUUGGAAACGACUGCUAAUACCGCAUAAGCCCACACUACCGCAUGGUAGAGUGAGAAAAGAUUUUAUCGCUUUAAGAUGGACCCGCGUCUGAUUAGCUAGUUGGUGAGGUAAACGGCCCACCAAGGCGACGAUCAGUAGCCGGCCUGAGAGGGUGAACGGCCACAUUGGAACUGAGAUACGGUCCAGACUCCUACGGGAGGCAGCAGUGGGGAAUAUUGGGCAAUGGGCGAAAGCCUGACCCAGCGACGCCGCGUGAGGGAAGAAGGUCUUCGGAUUGUAAACCUUUGUUGACAGGGACGAAGAAAGUGACGGUACCUGUCGAGGAAGCCACGGCUAACUACGUG
rnacentral:rRNA from 1 species